AUUGAAAGCUGGCGGAAGGCCUAAAACAUGCAAGUCGAGCGGAGCGACGGACGGGUGAGUAAUGCCUGGGACUCUGCCGGGUAGUGGGGGAUAACGUCCGGAAACGGGAGUUAAUACCGCAUCCUAUCAGAUGAGCAUAGAGCGGAUUAGAUAGUUGGUGGGGUAAAGGCCUACAAGGGCGACGAUCCGUAACUGGUCUGGGAGUAUGAUCAGUCAAACUGGAACUGAGACACGGUCCAGACUCCUACGGGAGGCAGCAGUGGGGAAUAUUGGACAAUGGGCGAAAGCCUGAUCCAGCCAUGCCUCGUGUGUGAAGAAGGUCUUCGGAUUGUAAAGCACUUUAAGUUGGGAGGCGUUACCAACAGAAUAAGCACCGGCUAACUUCGUGCCAGCAGCCGCGGUAAUAC
rnacentral:rRNA from 1 species